UGGGGGAUAUUGCACAAUGGGCGAAAGCCUGAUGCAGCGACGCCGCGUGGGGGAUGAAGGCCUUCGGGUUGUAAACUUCUUUUGCUCCGAACAAGGCAUGCUAAUGGGUGUGUUGAGUGUAGGGGUUGAUUAGCGCCGGCUAACUACGUGCCAGCAGCCGCGGUAAUACGUAGGGCGCGAGCGUUGUCCGGAAUUAUUGGGCGUAAAGGGCUUGUAGGUGGCUGGUUGCGUCUGUCGUGAAAGCUCAUGGCUUAACUGUGGGUUUGCGGUGGGUACGGGCUGGCUUGAGUGCAGUAGGGGAGGCUGGAAUUCCUGGUGUAGCGGUGGAAUGCGCAGAUAUCAGGAGGAAUACCGGUGGCGAAGGCGGGUCUCUGGGCUGUUACUGACACUGAGGAGCGAAAGCAUGGGGAGCGAACAGG
rnacentral:rRNA from 1 species